UUCACUGCUGUUCACAUGACCGCUCUGUGAUUUGCUACAUUUGUUGAAGCGGGGGGUGUUACUCCUUCCUCUCCAGCCCCCCCUUCACCAUGUGCUGAGUGAGAGGGGUCAGACCUGGUCUAGUGCCUGUGCUCCUCCUUUUCCUUGUCUAUUCAUGGAGAUCUGCUACUAGCAGUACUAAGCCACUGAGAGCUGCUGCAAGCCACUGCAGCCAGGUCAGCUGGAAGAGACAAAUCAACUGGAAGUCCAAAUCACGUGACCAGGCAUUACAGGACCACCCAGAACCAGUAUUGAGAUUAAAAAGUAUCCAAAGGCUGGAGUAGAAGUUCAACAAAACAAAGAAAAAGUCUGAUCGUAUUGGGGUCACUGCAUCUCUGCUCUGCAACUACUUUUUUAAUAUAAAUUGUUAUUUUCUGAAGUGGUGUCUCAUUCAAGGAAAAAAAUAAUUUUCCUGGGUACGUCCAUGGUGUGUGGGACACUCAUUAUUGUGGAGAUUUAGCAAGAAGUCUAAGCGAACACCAGAAGGUGACCAGGAAAGGCUACUCAGACCAGAAUAUCUGCUUUGUUACCCCUUCCACCUCUUGUUCCAUUUUUGUGCCUCAGCAAUGGGUGCAGCUUUCAGAAGGUUUUGUGCUCAUUUCUGCUGUUGCUGUUGUUGUGCUGAUGAUGAACCUGAGGAAAAGAACCCAUUACUGAGUGAAACACUGCUCUAUUUCGACCGGGAGGCAAAGAAGAGGCGGGACCAGGAGACCAACCUUUGGAGUGAGCCGGGAGACCACAGCCACUCUGAACGAGAUGAUGACCGUGAACUCUACAACCUGCUGCAGAAGAGGUCCAGGAUGCGCAGGGGCU